GAUGAACGCUAGCGGCAGGCUUAAUGCAUGCAAGUCGUGGGGCAGCAGGUCUGUAGCAAUACAGAUGCUGGCGACCGGCAAACGGGUGCGGAACACGUACACAACUUUCCUUUAAGUGGGGAAUAGCCCAGAGAAAUUUGGAUUAAUACCCCGUAACAUAGUGAAAAGGCAUCUUUUUAUUAUUAUAGCAGCAAUGCGCUUAAUGAUGGGUGUGCGUCUGAUUAGGUAGUUGGCGGAGUAAUAGCCCACCAAGCCUACGAUCAGUAACUGGUGUGAGAGCACGACCAGUCACACGGGCACUGAGACACGGGCCCGACUCCUACGGGAGGCAGCAGUAAGGAAUAUUGGGCAAUGGACGCAAGUCUGACCCAGCCAUGCCGCGUGGAGGAUGAAGGUCCUCUGGAUUGUAAACUUCUUUUAUCUGGGAAGAAAUCCAUCUUUUCUUGGGUGGUUGACGGUACCAGAUGAAUAAGCACCGGCUAACUCCGUGCCAGCAGCCGCAGUAA
rnacentral:rRNA from 1 species